GAUAUCUAUUUGAUUGUCUACCCAUUGGAUAACCGUGGGAAAUCUAGAGCUAAUACAUGCAAGUAUUUGGCAGUACCCUCGGGUGCUGUCAAAGCAUUUAUUAGACCAAACCAACUGUUGUGCGAUCAUUGGUCGUACAGCAAGGUGAAUCUGGAUAACUUUGCUGAUCGUAUGGCCUAGAGCCGGCGACGUUUCAAUUGAGUUUCUGCCCUAUCAACUAGUUGGUAAUGUAUUGGAUUACCAAGGUAGCAACGGGUAACGGGGAAUCAGGGUUCGAUUCCGGAGAGGGAGCCUGAGAAACGGCUACCACAUCCAAGGAAGGCAACAGGCGCGCAAAUUACCCAAUCUAGACAGUAGGAGGUGGUGAAGAGAAUUACUAAGUGGUGGCCUUAUGGCUACCAGCUUGGAAUGAACGUAAUUUAAGCAAUUCGAUGAGUAACAACUGGAGGGCAAGUCCUGGUGCCAGCAGCCGCGGUAAUUCCAGCUCCAGUGAUCUCGUUUAAAGUUGUUGCGUUUAAAACGCUCGUAGUUGGAUCACGCAGCAUCAUCUGGUAAUCUUGAUAGUGAGCAUAAAAGCUGCACUUUGAGGAGUUUUCACGUAAGUGUAAGGCCGAUUAAAGUGUAGUGCUCACCGAUGGAUAUUAACGCCAGGUGUUGCUAGUUGCACGCGAGGAUGUCAGUUGGUCUUUAGUGUACUGAGUGUCAUAUCUUGCGGAGUGUGCCUUGAAUAAAACAGAGUGCUCAACGCAGGCAAAAGCUUGAAUGUUAUAGCAUGGAACGAACAAACGUGUUAACGUGCACGUCGAGUACAGCGGUAUUCUUAUGGAUUGCCAUUGUAUUAGAUGUGCACAGCACCUACCAAAAUAUGGAUGUUGGUUCCAUAUACGGUGAUGAUUAAAAGGAGCGGUUGGGGACAUUAGUAUUUGACCGCGAGAGGUGAAAUUCUAGAACCGGUCAAGGACUAACAAAUGCGAAGGCACUUGUCUAGACCGUUUCCAUUAAUCAAGAACGAAAGUGAGAGGUUCGAAGACGAUCAGAUACCGUCGUAGUUCUCACCGUAAACUAUGCCGACCUGGGACCAGUUUGGAUACUACAAACUCUAGGUUGGUCCCCCUGGGAAACCUCAAGUCUUUAGGUUACGGGGAGAGUAUGGUCGCAAGGCUGAAACUUAAAGGAAUUGACGGAAGGGCACCACCAGGGGUGGAGCCUGCGGCUUAAUUUGACUCAACACGGGGAAACUUACCUGGUCCGGACAUCGAUAGGAUAGACAGACUGAUAGAUCUUUCUUGAUGCGAUGAGUGGUGGUGCAUGGCCGUUCUUAGUUCGUGGAGUGAUCUGUCAGGUUAAUUCCGGUAACGAACGAGACCACAGUCCCCAUUUAAGAAACGAAAGUAGAGUGUGCAAGAACGGGUAUUUCGGUAUUUGUUUUUGGAUACUUGUAGGUAUAGCUGGUUAGCUCAGUAGGCUGUUGCAGGAGGGGUAACCCGAAUGUGGCUGUCUGCUGGGUCAGCCAAUUCUCCCUUUCGUUGAGCAGUAUUUGGAUUCUCCGAGUGCUGUCUUAUGGGGAGACAACGAGGUAUAUUUAAGCUCGCGGAAGAGUGGCUAUAAAC
rnacentral:rRNA from 1 species